rnacentral:rRNA from 1 species
CGAAAGCAUGGGUAGCGAACAGGAUUAGAUACCCUGGUAGUCCAUGCCGUAAACGAUGAGUGCUAGGUGUUGGAGGGUUUCCGCCCUUCAGUGCCGGAGCUAACGCAUUAAGCACUCCGCCUGGGGAGUACGACCGCAAGGUUGAAACUCAAAGGAAUUGACGGGGGCCCGCACAAGCGGUGGAGCAUGUGGUUUAAUUCGAAGCUACGCGAAGAACCUUACCAGGUCUUGACAUCUUGCGCCAACCCUAGAGAUAGGGCGUUUCCUUCGGGAACGCAAUGACAGGUGGUGCAUGGUCGUCGUCAGCUCGUGUCGUGAGAUGUUGGGUUAAGUCCCGCAACGAGCGCAACCCUUGUUACUAGUUGCCAGCAUUAAGUUGGGCACUCUAGUGAGACUGCCGGUGACAAACCGGAGGAAGGUGGGGACGACGUCAGAUCAUCAUGCCCCUUAUGACCUGGGCUACACACGUGCUACAAUGGACGGUACAACGAGUCGCGAACUCGCGAGGGCAAGCAAAUCUCUUAAAACCGUUCUCAGUUCGGACUGCAGGCUGCAACUCGCCUGCACGAAGUCGGAAUCGCUAGUAAUCGCGGAUCAGCAUGCCGCGGUGAAUACGUUCCCGGGCCUUGUACACACCGCCCGUCACACCAUGAGAGUUUGUAACACCCAAAGUCGGU